rnacentral:rRNA from 1 species
CGAACGAAGCGCCCGCGCGGAUUCCCUCGGGAUGAAGCGCGGAUGACUGAGUGGCGGACGGGUGAGUCACGCGUGGGCAACCUGCCCCGUGCCGGGGGACAACAGCCGGAAACGGCUGCUAAUACCGCAUGAUCCGGGAGGGCCGCAUGGCCCUGCCGGGAAAGCUCCGGCGGCACGGGAUGGGCCCGCGUCUGAUUAGUUUGUUGGCGGGGUAACGGCCCACCAAGACUGCGAUCAGCAGCCGGCCUGAGAGGGCGGCCGGCCACAUUGGGACUGAGACACGGCCCAGACUCCUGCGGGAGGCAGCAGUGGGGAAUAUUGCACAAUGGGGGAAACCCUGAUGCAGCGACGCCGCGUGGGCGACGAAGCGCUCCGGCGCGUAAAGCCCUGUCAGCAGGGAAGAAAAAAGACAAUACCUGACCAAGAAGCCCCGGCUAACUACGUACCAGCAGCCGCGGUAAUACGUAGGGGGCAAGCGUUAUCCGGAUUCACUGGGCGUAAAGGGAGCGCAGGCGGCACGGCAAGUCUGGUGUGAAAGCCCGGGGCCCAACCCCGGGACUGCAUUCGAAACUGCCGGGCUGGAGUGCCGGAGGGGUAAGCGGACUUCCUGGUG